rnacentral:rRNA from 1 species
UACGUAGGUGGCGAGCGUUAUCCGGAUUUAUCGGGCGUAAAGCGUCCGCAGCCGGCUUAUUAAGUCCCGAAUUAAAGCCCGAGGCUCAACCUCGGUUCGUUCUGGAAACUGGUAGGCUCGAGUGUGGUAGAGGCAAGUGGAACUUCCAGUGUAGCGGUAGAAUGCGUAGAUAUUGGAAAGAACACCAGUGGCGAAGGCGACUUGCUGGGCCAUCACUGACGGUCAGGGACGAAAGCGUGGGGAGCAAAUA